rnacentral:rRNA from 1 species
CCUACGGGAGGCAGCAGUAGGGAAUCUUUCACAAUGGGCGAAAGCCUGAUGGCGCCACGCCGCGUGCAGGAUGCCGGCCUUCUGGUUGUCAACUUCUUUUAUAAGCGAGAAAUAUGAUGGUAACUUAUGAAUAAGGAUCUGCUAACUACGUGCCAGCAGCCGCGGUCAUACGUAGGAUCCGAGCAUUAUCCGGAGUGACUGGGUGUAAAGAGUUGCGUAUGUGGCAUAAUAAUUAGCUAGGGAAAGCUGGUGGCUCAACCAUUCAGACUAUUAGCGAAACUGUUAAGCUCGAGACCGUUAGGGGUAACUGGAAUUUGUAGUGUAGGAGUGAAAUCCGUAGAUAUUAGAAGGAACACCAAUAGCGUAGGCAGGUUACUGGGACGGUUCUGACACUAAGGCACGAAAGCGUAGGGAGCAAACGGGAUUAGAUACCCUAGUAGUC